rnacentral:rRNA from 1 species
UACGUAGGCAGCAAGCGUUGUUCGGAGUUACUGGGCGUAAAGGGUGUGUAGGCGGUUGUUUAAGUUUGGUGUGAAAUCUCCCGGCUCAACUGGGAGGGUGCGCCGAAUACUGAAUGACUAGAGUGCGGGAGAGGAAAGUGGAAUUCCUGGUGUAGCGGUGAAAUGCGUAGAUAUCAGGAGGAACACCGGUGGUGUAGACGGCUUUCUGGACCGUAACUGACGCUAAGACACGAAAGCGUGGGGAGCAAACGGG